UAUAAGGGUGCGGUUAUUUUUUCUCAUCUUAGUUUGCUAUUUUGGCGCGAUUUUGACAAUUUCUGGCGCAUUCCACUUAUUUACUUUAGCGGCCAUAGGGCAAUGGUUUACUAACGGGAGAUGUGAUGAAUUACAGCAGCAAUACUUGAAAUAUAAGGAAGAACUGAAGCAAUUAUGAUACCUAUUAUUUUUUAUAAUGACAGAAGGAACGUGGAAGAAAAAACAUUUUGUGCAGCAUGUGAAAACAAGGAAUUAGAAUGAAGGAAGGGCUGCUACUUUUCAUGCUCCCGAAACCAGCCAUCUCAUCAUCAUAGCAUGUUGCAUUGGAGCUCUGCUGGAGUUUGCUGAUGACAGGAUGCUGAAGGGCUGAAGCUGGUAGCUCUGGCAGGAGUCCAGUGUCCACCAGCUCAAGAUCCGACGCCGCCGCGUCGCCGCCGUGCGGCACUCCGCGGAGACGGGGACGGCGGUCAUGAUUGAAGACAUCGCAUUUCCCGCCUGGACUGUCCGGUCGGAGACUGGUAAUCCCUCCGGUGAGCCGCACACCGUGGAGCUACUGCACCGCGCGUGUCCACCCGCAGCGCAGUGCCAGCAACGGUGCCGUGAGUGCGACAUCUGCGUGCAUAUGACGCAGUGCGACUGUCACGACUCGCGGCUCAGUGUUCUGUCAGUGUGACAGUGCGGCUCGCGCUCGUUUUAGCGUGGUGCUCUGUUGUAUAUAACCACCUUGAUGGAGACCUAUGUGCUGCCGCUUGAGUUUCAAUGUACAGUUUUAUGCAUCAAACUAGCGUAAGUAAAUGGCUAUCAGAGGUCAAUUUGAAGCGCAAUUAGUACCCAUAACCCAGCUGGGUUGAGCGAGUCAUGUGACUAGUCCCGAUGAACGUACUGUUUCGAUGUCGUCAGUCGUAGACUUUUGUAAACCAUUCGUUUCGGAGCUCUGUGUUGUGUUGUUCGGGACCGCAGUUGUUUGAGCAGUUUGCUUUAUGCGUCGUACGCUGACAGAACGCUGGUCGUACACAAGCCAUGUGUUUCCUUUCGCCCCUAAUGUGUUUCUGCGGUACCUAUGCAGUUGUAAUGUGUAUACAUUACAACUGCAUUACAUACAUUACAUACAUUACAUACUCUAUACACUAAGGUCGACCACUAACUGGUCGCACUUGGUUGUGAAAAUGACACUAGCUGGUCGCACUUGGUUUCAAACUGCGCUUGGAAGUCGUGCAAUUUUAUUUGCAUUUUGCAAUGCAAUUUUGUUGCCGUUACCGUAUUGGUAGAUUGAGAUAGUGUCAGAAGUUGGCCAUUUGAUGCGUUGUCACUUGUCAGACGUUGUUGCCUUAGUACUGACGAAUUGAUGGGCCGCGUUUGUGUUCCUGUUAAGAAACGGAUCUCAAUAUAAGGUGAUUCAGAGGUAGGAACCUGAAUGCAUUC